rnacentral:rRNA from 1 species
AUUGAACGCUGGCGGCAGGCCUAACACAUGCAAGUCGAGCGGAUGAAGGGAGCUUGCUCCUGGAUUCAGCGGCGGACGGGUGAGUAAUGCCUAGGAAUCUGCCUGGUAGUGGGGGAUAACGUCCGGAAACGGGCGCUAAUACCGCAUACGUCCUGAGGGAGAAAGUGGGGGAUCUUCGGACCUCACGCUAUCAGAUGAGCCUAGGUCGGAUUAGCUAGUUGGUGGGGUAAAGGCCUACCAAGGCGACGAUCCGUAACUGGUCUGAGAGGAUGAUCAGUCACACUGGAACUGAGACACGGUCCAGACUCCUACGGGAGGCAGCAGUGGGGAAUAUUGGACAAUGGGCGAAAGCCUGAUCCAACCAUGCCGCGUGUGUGAAGAAGGUCUUCGGAUUGUAAAGCGCUUUAAGUUGGGAGGAAGGGCAGUAAGUUAAUACCUUGCUGUUUUGACGUUACCAACAGAAUAAGCACCGGCUAACUUCGU